rnacentral:lncRNA from 10 species
GUGAGAGCGUCUGCCGGGACAGUGUGGCUGGACCCACGUGGCAGGAGGUGUUAACCACCGAAGGGAGGUAGAAUGUUUUUCCCCACCAGAGGAGGCAGCGACCACGUCUCCUCUAUGGAGGCAUUCAAGAGCCGUCCAGCUGAAGCAGCAUCACUGUCUGAGCUCGGAAGGCACAAUCCACAUAGGUCUGCAUGGUCCACCGAGCUGCAUACCCACGGGGCCAGCGGGAGGUGGGCAGCUGCUGGGCUCUCUUCUGAAGCAGGGUCUUGCUCUGUCACCCAGUCUGGAAUGCAGUGGUGCCAUCAUAGCUCACUACAGCCUGAGCUGUACUGAGCUCGAGGGAUCUUCCCGUCUCCGCCUCCUAAGCAGCUGGGACUACAGGUACUUGCCCCCAGGCCCAGAUAAUUUAUUUAAAAACUUUUUUUGUAGAGACAGGGUCUCACUAUGUUGCCCAGGCUGGUCUCAAACUCCUGGCCUCAAACAAUCCUCUACCUCAACCCCCCUAAGUGCUGGCAUUACAGGCAUCAGCUGCCAUGCCUGGCUACAAAUCUUAAUGUUUUCCCCAUGGCUUCUUUUUCUGGCGUUCUUUUCUCAGGUAAUGGAAGUGGGCAGAGAAUGAUCCUUUCCCUAGGCUCCAGUGUGUAAGAAUUAAAGAAAGAGGAAAGAAACACAAUGGCUUGAUGGUCGAGGACAGGUUUAUUUUAAAGAAAACAAACCCAAGAGUGGCUUCUGGCUGAGUUAGAUCAGAGGCAUGCUCUCUUACAGACUAAGAGUUUUUAAGGAUUCAGGGUGGGAGAGUUUAUCAGAGGCUUGGACUGCUUCUGUGUCUCUUUAGGUGUGCUUAUCUGGGAGGGAGUUGUGUGUCUGUUUCCAUACAUCUUCCUGCAGCUGCAGGCAUACCCCCAGGUCUGCUUUUAGCUUCCCUAUCUUAGUGCACCUGAAGGGAAAGAAUGUGCUUAUUAAGGCCCACUGUUAUACUGGGGCCCAAUGUAUGAGGGUGAAGUUUGGCAAUUACCCAAGAGACUUUCCCCCCACCUCCCUCUGUGCCUGAGCUGUCUCAUCUAUGUUUUACUGUCUGCUCUUUCUGUCUGCUUGUUGUUAGAAGAGAAGUGAUUUUCUUGAAAUGCAUGAGGCUGGAAAGGGAGCUGGCACUUAAAGUGGCGGUGUUUGUCCGAGAGGAUGGUGCUCCUGCUCUGUCACAGUGGGCAUGGGGAUUCAGGCCACUGCCACCGAAUUUCAAGAGCCCAAGCACAGAGCCCAGAACUAAAUUGUGAGGGUUUAAAAAAAAAAAAAGCUUUAUUGAAGUAUAAUUGACAUACAAUAAACUUGAAUAUUUAAAGUGUACAAUUUAUGCGUUUGGGCAUUUGUAUAUACCCCUGCAACCAUCAGCACACUGAAGAUAAGGAAUAUACCCAUUACCCCUGAAAAUUUCCCCAUGCCCUUUGGAGCCCCUCCCUUCAACCCCUCAAAUACUUAAUGCGCUUUUUCCCGAAAGGCAAGAAGAAAGCUUCCCUACACAUUUAUCAAGGCUGUUAUAAUCCUGACUCCCAAACAAGGUAAGGAAAUUGUUAGACACUUAGAGAACACUUUCAACUAUUGUAUUCAGAUGUUAAAAUCCUCAGUAAAAUUCCCAUAACAGUUAAUUGAACAAACCAAUUAUGCAAAAACAUACAAUCAACUAUAAUUGCACCCUAUAGACUCCCCUUUUUAUUCUCUAAUGUGUUAUAUUCCACUAAAUCUUUCUUCAUCUUGCCAGUUUUUCUUCUAAUUUCCCUGCAGCUAUAAUUUUGGCUGAUGCUAUAGUUUGAAUAUUUGACCCUCCAAACCUCAUGUUGAAAUUUAGUCCCCAGUGUUGGAGGUGGGGCCUGGUGGAAGGUGUUUGGGUCAUGGGGGUGGAUCACUCAUGAACGGCUUGGUGCUGUUCUCAUGGCAAUGAGUGAGUUCUCACAUAAUCAGUUCCCUCCAGAGCUGGUUAUUAAAGAGAGCCUGGCAUCUCCCCUCUGUCUCUCUUGCUUCCUGUCUCAUCAUGUAAUGUCUGCACACACUGGCUCCCCUUCUGCCAUGAGUGGAAACUCCUGGAAGCCCUCACCAGAAGUAGAUGCUGUUGCCAGCAGAACCACGAGUCAAAUAAACCUAUUUUUAUAAAUUACCCAGCCUCAGGUAUUCCUUUAGAGCAACACAUAUGGACUAAGACAGUGAUGUUCUCAAUUUACCCUGACAUUGCAUGCAGGCCGGCUGUUUCCUCUUAAGUUCCCGGAGUGGGAAUGUGUUCCGGACAAAGGAUGCUAGUGAGUGGCAGUC